rfam:Schistosoma mansoni strain Puerto Rico chromosome 2, complete genome
ACCUUGCUGACGAGUGCCAAGUAGUACGAAACCCGAGUCCAGGGU